GGUUUAAUUCGAAGCAACGCGAAGAACCUUACCAAGUCUUGACAUCCCGAUGACAAGCUAUGUAAUGUAGCCUCUCUUCGGAGCAUCGGUGACAGGUGGUGCAUGGUUGUCGUCAGCUCGUGUCGUGAGAUGUUGGGUUAAGUCCCGCAACGAGCGCAACCCCUGUUCUUAGUAGCCAGCGGUUCGGCCGGGCACUCUAGGGAGACUGCCAGGGAUAACCUGGA
rnacentral:rRNA from 1 species